CCUACGGGCGGCAGCAGUGGGGAAUAUUGGACAAUGGGCGAAAGCCUGAUCCAGCCAUGCCGCGUGUGUGAAGAAGGCCUUCGGGUUGUAAAGCACUUUCAAUGGGGAAGAAAGCCUUGGGGCUAAUACCCUCGAGGAAGGACAUCACCCACAGAAGAAGCACCGGCUAACUCCGUGCCAGCAGCCGCGGUAAUACGGAGGGUGCGAGCGUUAAUCGGAAUUACUGGGCGUAAAGCGCGCGUAGGCGGUCUGAUAAGCCGGUUGUGAAAGCCCCGGGCUCAACCUGGGAACGGCAUCCGGAACUGGCAGGCUAGAGUGCAGGAGAGGAAGGUAGAAUUCCCGGUGUAGCGGUGAAAUGCGUAGAGAUCGGGAGGAAUACCAGUGGCGAAGGCGGCCUUCUGGACUGACACUGACGCUGAGGUGCGAAAGCGUGGGUAGCAAACAGGAUUAGAUACCCGAGUAGUC
rnacentral:rRNA from 1 species